CAAGUUCAGAAAACUCGACAGAUCAGUGUUUCUGGAACAGCAGUAGCUCAACACAAGUUAUUGAAUGGACCUGUCCAUCAGUUGAUGAAAAAAUGAAUCAGGAAGAUGAGGAUGAAGGUGUUGAACCCUCAGAAGCAUCAGACGCCUUGGACGAACUGGAGUCUGACAUGGAAGAAAUGGAAAAUAACAAUAUAAGCAAUGCAGUGAUUGUCAUGAG